rnacentral:rRNA from 1 species
UACGUAGGGGGCAAGCGUUGUCCGGAUUUAUUGGGCGUAAAGAGCGUGUAGGCGGCUUUGCAAGUCCGUUGUGAAAACUCGAGGCUCAACCUCGAGACGCCGGUGGAAACUGCAAAGCUAGAGUCCGGAAGAGGAGAGUGGAAUUCCUGGUGUAGCGGUGAAAUGCGCAGAUAUCAGGAAGAACACCGGUGGCGAAGGCGGCAUCCUGGACCAACACUGACGCUGAGUGAGCGAAAGCCAGGGGAGCAAACGGG